rnacentral:rRNA from 1 species
GCGCAGAUAUCAGGAGGAACACCGAUGGCGAAGGCAGAUCUCUGGGCCGUAACUGACGCUGAGGAGCGAAAGGGUGGGGAGCAAACAGGCUUAGAUACCCUGGUAGUCCACCCCGUAAACGUUGGGAACUAGAUGUGGGGACCAUUCCACGGUCUCCGUGUCGCAGCUAACGCAUUAAGUUCCCCGCCUGGGGAGUACGGCCGCAAGGCUAAAACUCAAAGGAAUUGACGGGGGCCCGCACAAGCGGCGGAGCAUGCGGAUUAAUUCGAUGCAACGCGAAGAACCUUACCAAGGCUUGACAUAUACCGGAAACGGCCAGAGAUGGUCGCCCCGCAAGGUCGGUAUACAGGUGGUGCAUGGUUGUCGUCAGCUCGUGUCGUGAGAUGUUGGGUUAAGUCCCGCAACGAGCGCAACCCUCGUUCUAUGUUGCCAGCACGUAAUGGUGGGAACUCAUGGGAUACUGCCGGGGUCAACUCGGAGGAAGGUGGGGACGACGUCAAAUCAUCAUGCCCCUUAUGUCUUGGGCUUCACGCAUGCUACAAUGGCCAGUACAAAGGGCUGCAAUACCGUAAGGUGGAGCGAAUCCCAAAAAGCUGGUCCCAGUUCGGAUUGAGGUCUGCAACUCGACCUCAUGAAGUCGGAGUCGCUAGUAAUCGCAGAUCAGCAACGCUGCGGUGAAUACGUUCCCGGGCCUUGUACACACCGCCCGUCAAGUCAUGAAAGUCGGUAACACCCGAAGCCGGUGGCCUAACCCCUUGUGGGAAGGAGCUGUCUAAGGUGGGAUCGGUAAUUAGGACUAA